UACGUAGGGGGCGAGCGUUGUCCGGAUUUAUUGGGCGUAAAGAGCUCGUAGGCGGUUUGGUAAGUCGGAUGUGAAAUUUCGGGGCUCAACCCCGAACUUGCAGUGGGUACGGGCAGACUAGAGUGUGGUAGGGGAGACUGGAAUUCCGUGGUGAUAGCGGUGAAAUGCGCAGAUAUCAGGAGGAACACCGAUGGCGAAGGCAGGUCUCUGGGCCACUACUGACGCUGGAGAAGCGAAAGCAUGGGGAGCGAACAGG
rnacentral:rRNA from 1 species